GACGAACGCUGGCGGCGUGCUUAACACAUGCAAGUCGAACGGACCUUCGGGUUAGUGGCGAACGGGUGAGUAACACGUGGGUGAUCUGCCCUGCACUUUGGGAUAAGCCUGGGAAACUGGGUCUAAUACCGGAUAGGACUACGCACUGCAUGGUGUGUGGUGGAAAGCUUUUGCGGUGUGGGAUGGGGCCCGCGGCCUAUCAGCUUGUUGGUGGGGUGAUGGCCUACCAAGGCGACGACGGGUAGCCGGCCUGAGAGGGUGACCGGCCACACUGGGACUGAGAUACGGCCCAGACUCCUACGGGAGGCAGCAGUGGGGAAUAUUGCACAAUGGGCGCAAGCCUGAUGCAGCGACGCCGCGUGAGGGAUGACGGCCUUGGGUCGUAAAGCUCUGUGGGGAGAGACGAAGAAAGCCCGUGAAGAGCGGGCCUUGACGGUAUCUCCUUAGCAAGCACCGGCUAACUCCGUGCCAGCAGCCGCGGUAAU
rnacentral:rRNA from 1 species